CUUGGUUAUCAUCGGUCCCAAAAAGGUUAUCGUUGUUAUUCUCCUACUCUUUGACGAUAUCUCAUAUCGGCGGAUGUCACAUUUUUUGAGUCUGUUACAUACUAUAGGUCGCUUCCUGAUCCUUUGUCUGCAACUAUUCCUCUGGACCUACCAAAGUCUAUUUCACCUUCUAUUUUACCAUUAGAGCCUAUUACGUAUGCCCCACCUGAGACACCUCCUGUGGCCCAUCCCACUGUCCCACUUGAGACUCCUCUUGUUGAUACUCGAUCCUCUUUCCUGGUACCCCUCUUCACUCACUUCCUCCUCGGGUCUUCGGAUCUACAUGUUUUGUCCACAAUCUCACUCCUGGUCUUGACAAACUUUCAGCUCGAUCAUUAAAAUGUGUCUUUCUUGGUUAUCAUCGGUCCCAAAAAGGUUAUCGUUGUUAUUCUCCUACUCUUCGACGAUAUCUCAUAUCGGUUGAUGUCACAUUUUUUGAGUCUGUUACAUACUAUGAGUCGCUUCCUGAUCCUUUGUCUGCAACUAUUCCUCUGGACCUACCAAAGUCUAUUUCACCUUCUCUUUUACCAUUAGAGCCUAUUACGUAUGCCCCACCUGAGACACCUCCUGUGGCCCAUCCCACUGUCCCACUUGAGACUCCUCUUGUUGAUCCUCCAACUGUACAACCUCUUCAGACAUAUCGUCGUCGUCAACCACCAUCGG
rnacentral:lncRNA from 1 species